UUCAAAAGUACUUUUUUUAUUGACAACUAAAUACCCAAUGAUUUUUUGUCCAAAAGCUCUAUUGGUAUAAGCUCUACUGCUAUAAGCUUUACUGUUAUAAGUUCUAUUUAAUAAGCUGUACCAAACGGAGCCUAAGUCUAGAAUGAAUUGCUUAUGGUGGUGGUUUUAAAUUUGUGAUGAUAGCAUCUAAAAUGCCUAAAUUAGCCUAAUGACAUCAUCAUAAAUUAAUGGUUAUUAUCGGCGAGGGGGCUUCUUGAUAUGUGCAAAACAGCGGUUCCAAUCCGCAUUAAUAUGAUUUUGUUUUAAGACGUGGAAAGGAAAAAGCAGUACAAAUUUUAUAUAAAAAUAAAUACCUUGAUUCAAUCAUAUGUAAUAAAUUUUCACGAUAAUCUCUCUUGCACAAAGUCACUACACUACUUACGUCUUACAUGAAGCACAUAUCAGACAUGAUGAAUAUCAUUAAAAGUUCUCUUUAUUUUUGCAAAAGAACUAUUUCCAUGUCUUUUUUUCAUCAUCUUUUCUUCGUUGACAAUUUCCAUAAAAGAUAAAAAUAUUGAUAAAAAAUUGAAGAAAAUUAAAGGUGGAAGGCAUAUCUUGAGUCUUUUUAUCAUCAUCUUUUCUUCGUUUACAAUUUCCAUAGAAGAUAAAAAUAUUGAUGAAAUAUUGGAGAAAAUUAAAUGUGGAUGGCAAAUCUGCAGAAAAUUAAACACGGCAUAUCUCUUCUACUAAUUGGAAGUAAUAGUUAAUAUAUAAUGUGUCUCCAAUUAAACGUGGAUGGAAAAUCUCUAGAAAAUCAAACGCGGCAUAUCUCUUUUACUAGUUGGAAGUAAUAGUUAAUAUCUAAUGCGUUAAGUUAAUUAUUUGGGUCCGCCUAAGUUUAUGAUAUUUCCCCCUUCUUUUCUGUAAGACUGCCCCAUUGAUUAACCCACCCCAUUAAAAAAAUAAAUGAAUUUAUUUUGUAAACCUACCCCAUAAAUACCAAAAAUACCCUUGUCUA
rnacentral:lncRNA from 1 species